UGGGGAAUCUUGCGCAAUGGACGAAAGCCUGAUCCAGCAAUGCAGCGUGAGUGAUGAAGGCCUUAGGGUUGUAAAGCUCUUUUACCCGGGAUGAUAAUGACAGUACCGGGAGAAUAAGCCCCGGCUAACUCCGUGCCAGCAGCCGCGGUAAUACGGAGGGGGCUAGCGUUGUUCGGAAUUACUGGGCGUAAAGCGUACGUAGGCGGCUUUGUAAGUUAGAGGUGAAAGCCCGGAGCUCAACUCCGGAAUUGCCUUUAAGACUGCAUCGCUUGAAUCAUGGAGAGGUUAGUGGAAUUCCGAGUGUAGAGGUGAAAUUCGUAGAUAUUCGGAAGAACACCAGUGGCGAAGGCGACUAACUGGACAUGUAUUGACGCUGAGGCUCGAAAGCGUGGGGAGCAAACA
rnacentral:rRNA from 1 species